UUGACUCAAUUUACUGCAUGCUAUUUCAACAACUACAUGUAAGUUGAGUGAACUUAACACUUCAUGUUUGCUAAACUUAACUGAGCCAAAGCAACAAGAUGACUUGACUAAGUCACAUUGUGUCAACAAAUAAUUUUUUACAGUGUGUGUGUGUGUGUGUAUAUAUAUAUAUAUAUAUAUAUAUAUAUAUAAAACUCAGCAAAAAAUAGAAACGUCCCUUUUUCAGGACACUGUAUUUUAUAGAUAAUUUUGUAAAAAUCCAUAUAACUUUACAGAUCUUUAUUGUAAAGGGUUUAAAUAAUGUUUUCCAUGCUUGUGCAAUAAACCAUAAAAAAUUAAAGAACAUGCACCUGUGGAACGGUCGUUAAGACACUAACAGCAUCAGACUGUCUGCAGUAGGCAAUUUCUUUAUUUUUUUUCCUUUUUCUCCCAAUUUGGAAUGCCCAAUUCCCAAUGUGCUUUUUAAGUCCUUGUGGUCACGUAGUGAUUCACCUCAGUCUGGGUGGCGGAGGACGAAUCCCAGUUGCCUCUGCGUAUGAGAUCAUCAACCCUCGUAUCUUAUCACAUGGCUUGUUGAGCGCAUUGCCACGGAGACAUAGCGCAUGUGGAGGCUUCACGCCAUCCACCGCAGCAACCACGCUCAACUCACCACAUGCCCCACCGAGAACAAACCACAUUAUAGCGAUCACGAGGAGGUUACCCCAUGUGACUCUACCCUCCCUAGCAACCGGGCCAAUUUGGUUGCUUAGGAGACCUGGCUGGAGUCACUCAGCCCACCCUGGGAUUUGAACUAGUGAACUCCAGGGGUAGUAGCCAGCAUCUUUACCACUGAGCUACCCAGGCCCCCACAGACAGCAGGCAAUUAAGGUCACAGUUAUAAAAACUUAGGACACUAAAGAGACCUUUCUACUGACUCUGAAAAAAACUAAAAGAAAGAUGCCCAGGGUCCCUGCUCAUCUGUGUGAAUGUGCCUUAGGCAUGCUGCAUGGAGGCAUGAGGACUGCAGAUGUGGCCAGGGCAAAAAAUUGCAAUGUCCGUACUGUGAGACGCUUAAGACAGCAUUGCAGGGAGACAGGAAGGACAGCUGAUCGUCCUCGCAGUGGCAGACCACAUGUAACAAUACCUGCUCAGGAUCGGUACAUCCGAAUAUCACACCUGCGGGACAGGUACAGGAUGGCAAUAACAACAGCCCGAGUUACACCAGGAACGCACGAUCCUUCCAUCAGACUGUCUGCAACAGGCUAAGAGAGGCUUGUAGGCAUGUUGUAAGGCAGGUCCUUACCAGACAUCACCAGCAACAACAUCGCCUAUGGGCACAAACCCACCUUCGCUGGACCAGACAGGACUAGCAAAAAGUGCUCUUCACUGACGAGUCGCGGUUUUGUCUCACCAGGGGUGAUGGUCGGACUCACGUUUAUCAUCGAAGGAAUGAGCAUUACACCGAGGCCUGUACUCUGGAGCAGGAUCGAUUUGGAGGUGGAUGGUCCGUCAUGGUCUGGGGCAGUGUGUCACUGCAUCAUCGGACCGAGCUUGUUGUCAUUGUAGGCAAUCUCAAUGCUGUACGUUACAGGGAAGACAUCCUCCUCCCUCAUGUGGUACCCUUCCUGCAGGCUCAUCCUGAUAUGACCCUCCAGCAUGACAAUGCCACCAGCCAUACUGCUCGUUCUGUGCAUGAUUUCCUAAAAGACAGGAAUGUCAGUGUUCUGCCAUGGCCAGCGAAGAGCCCAGAUCUCAAUCCCAUUGAGCAUGUCUGGGACCUGUUGGAUCAGAGGGUGAGGGCUAGGGCCAUCCCCCCCAGAAAUGUCCGGGAACUUGCAAGUGCCUUGGUGGAAGAGUGGGGUAACAGGUCACAGCAAGAACUGGCAAAGCUGGUGCAGUCCAUGAGGAGGAGAUGCACUGCAGUACUUAAUGCAGCUGGUGGCCACACCAGAUACUGUUACUUUUGAUUUUGACCCCCUCCCCUUUGCUCAGGGACACAUUAUUCCAUUUCUGUUAGCCACAAAACAUUAUGACCACUCAAAGGAGAAGUGAAUAACGUUGAUCAUCUCCUCACAAGGCCACAUGUCAAGGACUGGGUAGAUUAGAUGGUAAGCGAACUAUCAGUUCUCAUAGUCAAUGUGUUGAAUGCAGGAGAAAUAGGCAAGAGUAAAGAACUGAAUGACUUUGUUAAGUUAAAAUUAAAACACUGGAAAUCAGAAAAUGAAAACAGGCAUCCACUCGAUGCAGUCCAAUCCAUAUCCAGUCUCCUCUAAAACAUUUGGGUACAUCUUUAACCAUCUCAUCAAUAUCUGUCUGGUCAUCAAUGGUGGCUAGAUCAGUAUAAUGUUGUCUGCACUAAUUAUGUGCAUCUGACCAGCUCAUUGUCACAGGAACAAAGUAAAACAAAUAAGGCAGAGCGGAUCCCACGUGCAUCAGAGCUGAGGUAGAAAGAUAGAAGAAUUUUAUUACCUUAUAUUAAAACACUCACACAAACUUACAUAUAUUAUCAUGCAGAUUGUACAGAUAUUUAUUGUUUUAGUUUUGAACAGGAUUAAAGUGAAUUAUAAAGUGUCCCCAUUAACCAUUAAAGUAACCUGCCAAAAGCACCAUGGGUAAAGUAGUCUUAUUUGAUGCACCUGUAAGAAAACUUUAGUCUGGGUUAAAUCAUAAUCAGAUUACUUUCCCCCCAACAAAAUAAUAUAUUCAAUUUAAUUCAACAAUUUCACCAAUUCCAAUUCAAUUAAAAAGAAACUUUACUUUAUAUGUCUGUGCAUUGUUUUCCCCUCCUCUCUGUGCAGGUAAUUGAGAGAAACUCGUUAUUGUUGUUUUACAUACUUUGCAAAAGAUACUGAAAUUUAUGAGUAACAUGAGACAUUUGCAAAUGUAAUGGCCCAGCACAGUGAGUUUAAAAAGGUAUUGUUUCAUGUUUAAAUGAAAGCCAUAUGUUAUGGUCAAUUUUAAGGUAUGUUUACACUAGUGAUGGGCACUUUUGAAACACGCUUCAUGAAGCCUCGAAACUUUUACGAAUCUUUUGUUUCGAACCAGUGCUUCGUAGCGCCUAUCAAACUGGCCAAGUCAUGUGAUUCAGCAAACAAGGCUUCAUUACAUAACACUGUUUUAAAAUACUUUCGAAACAUUUUUAAAUGUUUCGUGGUUACACGAGGGGACGUUGAUCCCACAGUGAAACCCAGAAUCAGUGUUAAAUGCAGGCUGUAACUGAUCUCGUGUCAGCUCAGCAAUAACCUUGGACUUACACUGAUAGUGGCUUGGAUGCAGCCUCAUUUAAAAUCAGCAGUUUUCAGUUUCAGAUGCCAUUGUAGAAAUGUAGUAUUCACAGUCAGCCAUGAUUACUCAAUCCGUACCGGAAACACGAUUUGUACUGCGCAUGUGAGAAAACUCAAGUUUGCUGUCACUUCCUGUCAUCGCCAAUGUUUUUACGACAGUCUGCUCUACAGGGUAGACUUUACUGUCACAGUUUGUACUGCGCAUGUGCUUGAUUUAUAGAGACGUGGUGGAGAGUGACAGAUAUAAAUAUUGAUUCUUUUGUGUUUUAUGUACAAAUUCAAGAAUUUCUCUUAAAAGGAGAAAUUCCUGACAAUCCCACAGAGCGUCAGAAGGUGAAACGGGUGUCUACGAAUUUUACUAUCAAAGGUAACUAUAAGUACCGAGAGAUUUUAUAAUGAAAAAAGAGAACUGACUGUCUGAGACAACCAGGGUCAUGUGCUUAUUUCACAAAUUUUGUUUAAAAUAUCAAGCUACGUUAACUGUACUUGUUCAGCUCCCGUAUCUGGGCAUUAAUAUACAAGUGACUAUAAUGUAGUUUAAUCUGUCAGAUAUCACAUAGUAAUAUGAUCUUUUUCUUUUUUACUUUCAACUGCAACUUUUUCCGAAUUUUUCUUUUUUCCUCUUAAAACAGACAACAGACUCUUCUGCAUCGGCCCCAGUAGGCAGUACAUGUGGCUAAUUGUCCUGUCAGAGGAAGAGAAGAGGUCUGUUCUUACGGAGUGCCACAAUAACCCUGGGACUGGCAAUCCCAGUGGCGUCAGAAGCACUCAAAACAGGGUUAUUGCUGGCUACUAUUGGCCUACAAUUAUCAAGGAUGUGAAAGAAUGGGUUCAAUAUGUACUACAGAGGUGGUACUUUACUUUUACUUUUUCCAGUUUUUUUUUUUUUUCUUUACAAGUAUCUAUACUUAAGAAUGUGUCUACUUUUGCCACCUCUGAUUGUUAGAUACCUCCUUGAUUUAGAAGUUAUAUUUAUUGUCAUCACCAACUUGUAUUAACAGGCUAUUUUUCUAGACAUUUUGUUCAAAAAAUUUGUUUUGCUUUUUAGGUCAGAUCUUGUCACCGCUGCCAGUUGAAUGACCCCAUCAAGACUGUUGUGCCAGUCUUGCAUUCCAUUAAGGUAAAAUAAUCUCGGGAGGUGCUUGGUUUGGAUUUGAUUGGACCACUGCCAGAAACAGCACGCAAGUAUGUCCUUACCAUGACAGACCUGUACACCAAGUGGGUGAUUGCAGAACCCAUGCAAUCUAAGACAGCAGCUGAGGUGUCUGCAAUAAUAACCACAAAGCUGUACUUGUUCGGCAUGGUUAGGAAAAUCAUUACAGACCAAGGGAAAGGGUUUGUCAACAAGGUGAAGUUUUGUAAAGGUUUAAUUAUGUUUUUCCCCUUACUCUAGUCUGAUCAUAAAUGUUAUUGUCUACAGUUACUCCAGUCUUGCAAAUUUAACUGAUGAUCCCUCUGCAGCUCAACAACAGCAUUUUCAGUAUGCUGAAAAUCAAACAUGUUGUCUCCAGUGCUUACCAUCCCCAGACCAAUGGACAGAUAACUCUUUGGAUAUCUGUCCUGUAAGAUCUAUUGUUGUCUUGUGGUUAUUCAUCAACUUUAUAAAUGCAUUGAUAUGUACAGGAUGAAAGAACCAAUCAGAAUAUCAAGCGUACUCUCAGGAAGUAUGUGAAUGACAACCAUAAUGACUGGGAUCUUCACCUUCCUGCUGUGGUGUAUGGAAUCAACACUGCAAAGCAGUACUACCUAGACACAGUCCCUACUUCCUCCUCUUCCAUCGACACCCACAUCUGCCAGAGGUCAUGAAUGCCUGUCCCAUGGGAGAUGAUUUUGAAGUUGCUGACCUGGAAGAUGACAUCGACACCAGAGUCAAUAAGAUGAAACUUCUUAAUGAAACGGUUCUUCGCAACAUAGAGAGAGCACAGAGCAUGCAACAAAAGUCAUUCCAAAAUCGCAAGCUCAAGUAUGUCUGAGUAUGUUCAGUUCAGGCCGGUGAUGAUGUUCUGCUCUCACGGGACCCCAAGAAAGAACGGACAGGAGACACAUUUACAAGUCAGCACCAAGGACCAUAUACUGUGGCCAGCAUCUCUUCCAAAGGGGUAGCCACUAUUGUGACAGGUUCAACUUGUCAGAGGGUCAGUGUGUCAAGACUGAGGACAUACUACAGAUUGAAAAGUAAGAGUGUUCGAUAAACUCUGUAUAAAACAGUUUACAAUUAAAUGCUAGAUUCAGAAAAAUUGGAUAUUUGUUUGUAAUUCCUGUUGUUACUAAUUGUCAGGUAUAUUGUGUAUACUAUUAUAUCUUCUUUCAAAAGUAUUUAUUUUGAUGCAUGCAUGUUUAAUAACUUACAAUGUUCUUUCCAUAAGGGGGAAAAAAAAAAUCACCUCUAUGGUAGCUGGUUCUCGAUUGGACCUCUAUGUUGUUGCCACCUGGAAAGACAAAAAUGUGGACCCAGUGCAUUGUUUGCCUAAUCUAUGUGGCUGUCAUGUCACGUGACAAAUGAAUUUCCAUUUGGAGAGUUGAUCUACUCCGUGAAAUUCAGAAGAAAGAGGUUUGUUAUUGGUGAGAAAAUGGAGAAGACUUUAUCAUAUCUAAGAUUAGACAACCUUAUGGAGAGAUGGCCUGCUCUGUUCAAUGAAUCUCAGGUCAAUGAUGAGUUAAGGAGGUAACCACUAUUCACCUGGAGCGAACAUUUUUGUGAAAACUGGACUUCUAUACUCCAAAACUCCUGGCCAUAUUUGAAACGAAGGGUGGGGUUACUGGCACAAAAAUUAGAAGUGUGCUGGAUUCACUUAGUCAAGUAAAGUGUAAAAGCUCCAUAUUUACACUCAGAUUCUAUGUGAUCUUUUAAUUUUUUUUUUUUUUUUUUUGACAGGGUAGUAUAUGUUAUGGAU